GCUCCUGAAAAAGGCUGCAACCUUCUACUCUACUGGCUUUCAGGAAUUGCAUCGGAAAACCUCAUUUCAGUGAAGUAAACUUCAGCUAUCAAGAAGUUUGCCUAAGCCUCAUCAGCAUCGCCGGUACGGGGGAAGGCCUUGGGAACUUCCCAUGGUUCUUAAGUAAUCUAUAGCAAUGAAGCUACUUAUCCCUAGUAUUACUGGUUUAUAACUCAUUCCUCCAGAGUUAUUUUUCCUCCCCUGACGAAAAACUGACAUAGCAUCAAAAUUCUAAUUCUACACUUCUUCCAGCAAGAAGAGAAAAUGAUGUGUAAGAUACCGGAUCUUUUAUACUGGAAUUUUGUAUGGUACUUUAUAACAUAGUUUAUGGUACAGAACCUUACAAAACCUUGAUGUUUUCUACUUUUUCAUCUGAUGUGCAGCUAUUGUAUACAGCAAUAAAGGCAUUAAGUAUAUACCA